ensembl:lncRNA
UAGAAAUGGCUGUUGUGGUUAGUGGGAGAGUGUAUUAGUCUGUUCUCACACUGCUAAUAAAAACAUACCCGAGCCUGGGGAAUUUAUAAAGGAAAGAGGUGUAAUUGAUUCACAAGUCGGCAGGGCUGGGGAGGCCUCAGGAAACUUACGAUCAUAGUGGAAGGGGAAGCAAACACAUCUUUCUUCACAUGAUGGCAGGAAGGGGAAGUGCUGAGCAGAGGGUAAAGCCCUUUGUAAAACCAUCAGAUCUUGUGAGAACUCACUCACUAUCAUGAGAACAGCAUGAGGGUAACCACCCCUCUAUGAUUAAAUUACCUCCCACUGGGUCCCUCCCACAACACAUGGGGAUGAUGGGAACUGAAAUUCAAAAUGAGAUUUGGGUGGGGACAUAGUCAAACCAUAUGAGAGAGGCAGCUGAUUAGGAGAAAGGGGAAAUGGGUGGGGAGCAUGGACCGUGAGUGUUAGUGGCACCUGCAGUAAGUGACGCUCCCUGCUUUGAGCCUGUCACAGAUCUUAUUCUUGAUCUAUCACAAAGGGUUAAGGAGAGAACUGGUCUAUCUUUCAGUUGUCCUUAAUCCCAAAGAAUUAUUUUAGUAAGCCUCUAAACUAGGCUUACAGAACAAGCUUCACAGUCUCUAGGGGCAUCUAGCCAAAAGAAGUGAGGAGAUAAGAACAUGAAGUAAGGAACUUGAUCGGUCUGGGCAAUCAGUGGUGGUGACGGGGAGGCACCUUCUUGCUAUAGUAGCCAGAGAACUCAUGGGCAGGUGGCUUUUGCACUGGUAUCCAAGGGAUGGGCAGAAUUCUGGAAGGUAGAAGAUUUUCCUGGUUGGAGGGAGGCACCAGAGUCACGGGAGUGAACAAGAGACAAGGUCCCCACACUCCAGUGGGAGACAGUGAACAAAUAAACACUGCGGAGGCCACAAAAUGCCUGGAAGGAAAUAAGGAUGGGAGCACGAUGGGUGAAGGAUGGCUGCUUUUUGAUGUAGCACCAUCUGGACGCCUCCUUGGAUAAGCUCUUCUCCUGCCACGUGAGACCUGUUCUCCUUUCACCUUCGACCAUAACUGGAAGCUUCCUGAGUCCUCUCCAGAAGCAGAAGCAGAAGCAGAAGCAGAUGCCAGUGCCAUGCUUCCUGUACAGUCUGCUGAACCAUGAGUAAAUUAAAUCUCUUUAUAUAUAUAUAUAUAUAUGUUCUUCACAUGUACCCCCAAACCUAAAACUCAAUAUUUAUAUGUACAUAUAAAGGUACAUGUGAAGAACAUGCAAGAUUGUUGCAUAGGUACAUACAUGGCAUUGUGGUUUGCUGCCUUCCUCCCCAUCACCUAUAUCUGGCAGACCCCAGUGUGUGAUGCUCCCCUCCCUGUGUCCAUGUGUUCUCAUUGUUCAGCACCCGCCGAUGAGUGAGAACAUGUGGUGUUUGAUUUUCUGUUCUUGUGUCAGUUUGCUGAGAAUGAUGGUUUCCAGGUUCAUCCAUGUCCCUACAAAGGACUCGAACUCAUCAUUUUUUAUGGCUGUAUAAUAUUUCAUGGUGUAUAUGUGCCACAUCUUCCCUGUCCAGUCUAUCAUCGAUGAGCAUUUGGGUUGGUUCCAAGUCUUUGCUAUUGUAAACAGUGCUGCAAUGAACAUUUGUGUGCAUGUGUCCUUAUAAUAGAACAAUU